rnacentral:rRNA from 1 species
GUUCCUACGGGGGGCAGCAGUGAGGAAUAUUGGUCAAUGGGCGCGAGCCUGAACCAGCCAAGUCGCGUGAGGGAUGACGGUCCUACGGAUUGUAAACCUCUUUUGCCGGGGGACAAAAGGCCGGACUCGUCCGGUCCUGAGGGUACCCGGAGAAAAAGCAUCGGCUAACUCCGUGCCAGCAGCCGCGGUAAUACGGAGGAUGCGAGCGUUAUCCGGAUUCAUUGGGUUUAAAGGGUGCGCAGGCGGGCCUUUAAGCCGGCGGUGAAAUCGCGGGGCCCCACCCCGCCGAGCCGUC